AAUGAACGUUGGCGGCGUGGAUUAGGCAUGCAAGUCGUACGGUAAGCUUCGGCUUAUAGUGGCGAAAGGGAGAGUAACGCGUGGUUACAUGCCCUCGGGACCGGGAUAGCGGCGGGAAACUGCCGGUAAUACCGGAUAAUAUCUUUGGAUCAAAGGUGUGAUUCCGCCCGAGGAUUGGACCGCGUUCUAUUAGCUUGUUGGCGGGGUAAUGGCCCUCCAAGGCGACGAUGGACACCGGGUGUGAGAGCAUGGCCCGGCUCCCUGGGACUGGGACACUGCCCAGACUCCGACGGGUGGCUGCAGUCGAGAAUCUUCGGCAAUGGGGGCAACCCUGACCGAGCGACGCCGCGUGCGGGACGAAGGCCUUCGGGUUGUAAACCGCUGUCAGUUGGGAGGAAGUGCCGGGGGGUUCUCCCCUCGGUUUGACCGAUCUUCAGAGGAAGGACGGGCUAAGUUCGUGCCAGCCGCCACAGUAA
rnacentral:rRNA from 1 species